rnacentral:rRNA from 1 species
GACGAACGCUGGCGGCGUGCUUAACACAUGCAAGUCGAACGGAAAGGCCCCUUCGGGGGUACUCGAGUGGCGAACAGGUGAGUAACACGUGAGUAACCUUCCCUUGACUUCGGGAUAACUUCAGGAAACUGGGGCUAAUACCGGAUAGGAAUCCUUGCUGCAUGGUGGGGGUUGGAAAGCUUCGGCGGUUUUGGAUGGACUCGCGGCUUAUCAGCUUGGUGGUGGGGUAGUGGCUUACCAAGGCUUUGACGGGUAGCCGGCCUGAGAGGGCGACCGGCCACAUUGGGACUGAGAUACGGCCCAGACUCCUACGGGAGGCAGCAGUGGGGAAUAUUGCACAAUGGGCGGAAGCCUGAUGCAGCAACGCCGCGUGCGGGAUGACGGCCUUCGGGUUGUAAACCGCUUUCAGCAGGGGCGAAGCUUGUGGUGACGGUACCUGCAGAAGAAGCACCGGCUAACUACGUG